GUCUACGGCCAUACCACCCUGAACGCGCCCGAUCUCGUCUGAUCUCGGAAGCUAAGCAGGGUCGGGCCUGGUUAGUACUUGGAAGGGAGAAAGGUUUGAUAAUUCCAUGCU
rnacentral:rRNA from 1 species